GGGGAACCAGAGCAGCAGCUGUGGCUCGGCCCCUCGGAAGCAGCACGGGCCAGCUGGAAUUAAAAGCGCAGUUUUUUUUUUUUUUACCUCCAGUCUUUCUCUCUGCUUUCCAUCUCCUUCUCCGUCCUUCGGAUAUUAUCUCUGAGACCAAAACCUUCAGGAGCCUGUGGGGCAGAUCAGGCAACAGUGAUUUUGGAGCUGAUCCUUUCUUGUCUCCAAGAAUGAUCUCGGCUUCAUGACUCCAUAUAUUCUGUAUACUAAAAAAGAAGAUUGACUCAGAUAAGGAAAUUUUGGUUGUUUCCGGUGUUGGCUGUUACGAAUAAAGUGAUACUUUUUGUUUCUCUUGGGUAAAUCUACACACAUUGACUUUCUAGGUAAGAGUAUACAAAUUUAUUUCAAUUUAUGAAGAACUAACAACAUGUUUUUCAAAGCAUUUGUAUAAUUUUAUUUUCUUACUAACAAAAUAUGUGAGUUGUUCUUGCUCUUCCCUAAUAUUUGGUGCUAUAAAUAUUUUUAAUUUUUACAAUUCUACAGGGUAUACAGUAGAAAAGCAUUAAGAUUUAAAUUUUCAUUUCCUUAAUGACUAUUUAAUUUUUGUUGGUCAUUCAUUUAUAUUUGUUAAGUGUCUAUUCAAGUCUUUACUGUUAACUUAAAAGAGGUCAUUAUGUUUUCCGGUGUGUGGCUUUAUAUAUCACAAAUAUGUGAUUUCCAGUUAUUGUAUGUUCUUGCCAUCUCUGACAUGCCUCAGUGUUCUUAAAUGUGCACUUUUUGAAAUUCAGCUUAAAUUUUUAAAUUGACAUAUAAUAAUUGUAUAUAUUUAUGGGAUAUAGUGAUGUUUUAAUACAUAUAAUGCGGUGACCAGAUCAGGGUAAUUAUCAUAUCUAUAAUCUCAGAUUUUAUCAUUUCUUUGUGUUGGAAACAAUCAACAUUCUUCUUCUAGAUAUUGAAACUAAUAUUGUUGUUAACUAUAGUCUUCUUACAGUGCUAUGGAACACUAGAAUUUCUAUCUAGCUAUAAUUUUGUGUCCUUUCACAAAUCUUUCUCCUUUUCUUAGUCUUCCAAAGGCAUUGUCAAAUGUAGUAUCUUCAAAUAAACGAAAUAAAGAAAUUGCCUUAUAUUUUACUUUUCUUCUUUUUUAUAUAAUUUAAUUUAUU
rnacentral:lncRNA from 1 species